rnacentral:lncRNA from 1 species
CUCUUGAAGACACAAGUGAUGGUGAAGGAAGAAGAUGGAGAGCUAUUUUAUCUUUUAACCAUUACUCCCACAAGAACAAAUCAAGUUAGCUCCUGAUGAAUCCCUUUCAAAAGUUAUUAAGUUAUUUUAUGUAAGUUUUAGUUAAAUAAAUUAUUAGGAACUAAAACCUAUGUAUUGAUUAGUAUUUAUAGUGAUUUAUUAUCACCU